rnacentral:rRNA from 1 species
AUUGAACGCUAGCGGGAUGCCUUACACAUGCAAGUCGAACGGAGUGGCGAACGGGGGAGUAAUGUAUCGGAACGUGCCAAGUAGCGGGGGAUAACGAAGCGCAAGCGUAGCUAAUACCACAUACUAUUGGAGCGGCCGAUAUCCGAUUAGCUAGUUGGUGGGGUAGCGGAUCACCAAGGCGAAGAGCCGUAGCUGGUUUGAGAGGACGACCAGCCACACUGGGACUGAGACACGGACCAGACUCCUACGGGAGGCAGCAGUGGGGAAUAUUGGACAAUGGGGGAAACCCUGAUCCAGCCAUCCCGCGUGUGCGAUGAAGGCCUUCGGGUUGUAAAGCACUUUUGGCAGGAAAGCGGUACCUGCAGAAUAAGCACCGGCUAACUACGUGCCAGCCGCCGCGGUAAUAC